rnacentral:rRNA from 1 species
GACGAACGCUGGCGGCGUGCCUAACACAUGCAAGUCGAACGGGGUGAUUUCCUUCGGGAGAUCACUUAGUGGCGAACGGGUGAGUAACGCGUGAGAAACCUGCCUUUCAGUGGGGGACAACAGUUGGAAACGACUGCUAAUACCGCAUAAUGUAUUUUAGGGGCAUCCCUUGAAUACCAAAGCUUUAUGUGCUGAAAGAUGGUCUCGCGUCUGAUUAGCUAGUUGGUGAGGUAACGGCUCACCAAGGCGACGAUCAGUAGCCGGUCUGAGAGGAUGAACGGCCACAUUGGGACUGAGAUACGGCCCAGACUCCUACGGGAGGCAGCAGUGGGGAAUAUUGGGCAAUGGGGGAAACCCUGACCCAGCAACGCCGCGUGAAGGAAGAA